AUUGAACGCUGGCGGCAUGCCUUACACAUGCAAGUCGAACGGCAGCACGGGAGCAAUCCUGGUGGCGAGUGGCGAACGGGUGAGUAAAGCAUCGGAACGUGCCCAGUCGUGGGGGAUAACGUAGCGAAAGCUACGCUAAUACCGCAUACGAUCUGUGGAUGAAAGCGGGGGACCGUAAGGCCUCGCGCGAUUGGAGCGGCCGAUGUCAGAUUAGGUAGUUGGUGGGGUAAAGGCUCACCAAGCCGACGAUCUGUAGCUGGUCUGAGAGGACGACCAGCCACACUGGGACAGAGACACGGCCCAGACUCCUACGGGAGGCAGCAGUGGGGAAUUUUGGACAAUGGGCGCAAGCCUGAUCCAGCAAUGCCGCGUGCAGGAUGAAGGCCUUCGGGUUGUAAACUGCUUUUGUACGGAGCGAGAAGGCUUCCACUAAUACUGGGGGCUCAUGACGGUACCGUAAGAAUGAGCACCGGCUAACUACGUGCCAGCCGCCGCCGUAAAAC
rnacentral:rRNA from 1 species